GGGGAUGUAGUUAAUAAUAACAUUUAAUUUGCAAUUAAAAAGUAUCUUUAAGAUCUUUCUCA
rnacentral:tRNA from 1 species